GCCGAAGUGGCGGAAUUGGUAGACGCGCUGGUCUCAAAAACCAGUGAGGUAACUCCUCGUGUCGGUUCGAUCCCGACCUUCGGCACCA
rnacentral:tRNA from 2 species